UACGAAGGGGGCUAGCGUUGUUCGGAGUUACUGGGCGUAAAGGGCGCGUAGGCGGCUAAGUAAGUCGGGCGUGAAAAUCCCCACGGCUCAACCGUGGAAGUGCACUCGAAACUGCAUAGCUAGAGUCCUGGAGAGGAAGGUGGAAUGCUUGGUGUAGAGGUGAAAUUCGUAGAUAUCAAGCGGAACACCGGUGGCGAAGGCGGCCUUCUGGACAGUGACUGACGCUGAGACGCGAAAGCGUGGGGAGCAAACAGG
rnacentral:rRNA from 1 species